UGAAAAUGUUAGAAAAAGUGCUUAAGUCAGACUUUCUCACCACAAGAGGGAGGAUAUUGCUGCAACAAAACCUUGAUGGAGGAUACUUCCGGACUCUGAAAGCUUUGAGCGAAAUAACCACUCUAGUCAAUAAGAAAGUAAAAUGACUGUUAAUGGACAGAUGCAACAUUGAAAAACGUUAAUAGCGAAACUAAAGAAAUAACUAUAAUUGUCAAUAAUCUCAAAUUUUAGUAGAUGAACCUCGAAACAGUAAUCAAAGCAAAGCAGUAAACAGUUGUAGGCGCGAAUAGCAAAGAAAAAUAUCCAUAUACAGGCAUACAUACAUGGCAUUACUAUCUACGUAAAUAUAUAAACAUAAAAAAUAGUACUUUGUUGCAAAGAAAACGCGUUAUUUAAAAUACAAAAAAAAAAUAAUCAUAUAAAUACAUAGUAGCGUUUGCCGCUGCAAAAAUUCCUCCUCCUCGUGCAAAAAGUCCCUUUAAAAAAUAAAUGCAAAUAUUAAUAUCCAUAAUAGCUGAGUAAACACAGCGGUUAGCAUGAAAAUUUAGAAAAUAAAAAAUGUUUUCUAAAGAAUAUAGGCACUUGAUUGCAGUCAAUGCCCCCGUAGAUUUUGUCGAAAAUCAAAAGCAAAUAUCGACCGUUCGAAAAGAAUGUUUUAGAAGUAUAGAUUGAAUGCGUACUUUCGUGAUAUUAUUUACAAAUAAAUGCUUCGUUUCUUUUUUGUAGAAAGGGCAGUCCAAUAUAUAGUAUGCAUACAUACAAGCCACUUAAAUGUAUGCUUAAGUUCUUUAAUUUAAGCGUAAGCAACAAUUUGCAGCAUGUUGCUCUUUUUUUUUUUUGCCUACCGCCGCGCUUACUUCUUCAACAAACAAGUCUUCUAAAUACCAAAAAUAAUUAUUAAAUUUUUGCUCAUAGCGUGCAAUUCUUGUUUUAUUUACCCAAUUUGUUUGUGCCACGAAAAAUAAAGAAACGCUUAAAGCUGUUUAAAUUAGUUCAUGCAAUGCAAGUGGUGUUGAAAAGUAAUAGCAAAUAUACAUAUUUUGAUAGCGUAAAAUAUGAGACAAAUGCAUAUGUACUUGGCAUUUUACAUUUUACAUCAAUGCAAUUCGAUUUUGUUGAAAUACAAACAGUUUUUUUUUUUGAAAUAUUGAUGAUCUUCAUUUAUUUCGAAUGCAAUAUCGCUUUUUUAAGCAUUUAAACGCAUAGUAUACUCGUAUUUACAUUGAAUUAUGUGUGUUUACCUCUAAUCUAGUUCUGCAUCUUGUAUAAUAUUAAAUGCAUUGGGUUUUAUACUCACUCCCAAAGCAUAUGCGUACAUCCGUAUAUGUACAUCAGCAUAUAUGUAUGUACAUACAUAUGUAAAAGCACUUAUCUUCGUAAGCUCAACAUACAUUUUUUACACGGAUACUGCGAGAAUGACUUAAUUUUACAAAGUACAGCAAAACAUGGAAUUUUAGUUUUAAGCAGUUAGAUAUUUAUAUUUUUAUUGAGGUUCUGAACUUAUUUGAACGCUUUUGUUUUUUUUUUUGAAUAUGUCAGUUGAUUCACAAUUGAAUCUAUGUGCAAGGAUAUUGAUAUAUUGGCUGGCUGCAGAAUAGC